UCCCCUUCCCUCUUCCUGUUUCCUACAGGCCUGCCUUCUGAAUCUCUAAAUUUUUCCAAAUCUUUUCUGAAUUGAUUCAGAGGCUUCCAAAUCAAUUUGGGCCUUUUAAUAGGUUUCCCAAUUCAAUUCGGGUACAGAGAUUCAGCUGCUGAAUCAGGCUGAAUCUCCUCCAAAUCAAAUUGGCUACUGAAGCUUCGCAGAGCCCUACGGUUCACCAUUCAUUACAGGAUUUCACCCCAUCUCCUCAUCCUGAAGUAUUCAUCCAAGAGCCAGAAAAGACAGCAUUUUUGGCAGUUUUGUGCUGAAGCAAUACUUCAUUACCUAUUAGGAAAAUCAGAGCUACCUGAAUAGAAACUACUACUCUCAGUGCGAAGCAAAUAUUGUGAGAAGAACAAACCUACCCACUGUGGAUUCAUCCCCACAUACAGAGGUUUUCUCUGACUGCAAGGAAGUCGCUGCCCAAAUACCACAAGGAUGUAUUUGUUGUUGUCUGAUGUACAGCAGAACUCAAAGGACGAUUUUGAGAUGAUAGAAGCAACAGAAUUGUGAUGCCUGUCUUCCACUACCUUUUCAGAAUUUGAACGAGGCAUGCGUGGAAUUUUUGAUGACAUGAUUUUUUUUUCAUUGGAAAAUAUCCAUUUAUUGAAACUGAAACUGUUUAUGAGAAGGUGGCAAUUUUGAAAAGCAUCUUGUUGGAAAUCUUUUAAGCUGUAAGAAAUCCCAUUUUGAGAAUUUUAACAUGAAAAUGUUUGGCAUGUUGUGUCAAAGUGAUUUUUCAUUUUAAACUGUAAAUUUACUUAAACUGUAUAAUAGUCAAAAUGAAAAUGAAACGUUUCAAAGUUAUCAUUAUUAAAUGGUUUGUUGAACAAAAUCCAUUGGCUGUGAAGAAAAAAAAUAAAACAGUGUGUUACCAAAAGAGGCAGUGUGUUAGUUCAACACAGCUCUGUAGCAUCUGCAUAGAUCCGGUGCUUCAGAGGAGAUUUUUGGCACUUUUAUCUAAUACCUGAUUCAAUCAGUUAUUAGAUACAAGUGCCAAAAAGCCAUACAGAAGCACCUGAUCUAUCUGGACCUUGGGCGAGCCAGGCUCAACUAACACAAUACCUCUUUGGGGCAUACACUGUGCUGGUGCGGGGGUGUGCUGACUUAAAGUAAAGCACCAGGUUUUUUUUCCCCCAUGUCUGUAAGCAGCCAAUAUGAGGGGUUUUUUAAAGAUUUUCAGUUCACAAAAAGAUUUAAACUUUUUACCUCAAAUCAGGAAAAAAAAAUCAGAACUUCUAAUGGGACAGGAAAACCACUUCCUGACCCACUCUAUAUAACAGAAGAGAUUUCUUUACCACAAGAAGCAUACAAUAAUGGAAAAAAAAUCUUUACACAGUCCUGUUCCUUACAAAUAAAUGUAAAUACAUGAUACACAUGUUCACGUAUACUUAUUCCUAUAUAAUUUUUCUAAACAGCUGAGUUUCAGUUGGAUAUAUUUAAAUUGCUCUAGAUGAAUACAUUCUUCAUUGCAUAAUUAAAAAAAAACAAUUCAAGAUACAGAACUUCAAAUAUCAUUUAUAAUAUAUUGACUGUCAUAGUUAAAUGUAUAAUGUGUGGGAGAGACUGAGGCAAGCCAGGAUUAAUUUCCAAAACUAACUCUGUUAAAUGACAAGUGUUUGUUUUCUGCAAGAACUGUAAAGACUUUUGCUUGAGGAUGAAAACUUAAUUGGAUGAGCUGACACUGCCAUUGGUAAGUGAACUAAAUUUUAUAAUUUGCAUCAAAAUUACAUUACCGAGCUAGCAGGACCAAGAUGUUAUGUUAGUCUUUGCCCUGCAAAUAAAUAAUAUUCUAAAUUACAAAAAUAUCUAAGAUUAUCCAACUUCAGUGAAAGUUAAGGAAUUAAAAUACUGGCAAAAAUCUUCAGGUAGUUUUUGGGUUUUUACUAAAUGUGAAACAAUCCAUUAAUUUUCUGAUAAUGUCAAUUUGUUAGCACCCUGGUACAUUUAACAUUUAUUUUAGAUGGAUGGAUUGUGAUAGAUUGUUUUUUCUUCUCAGACCCAGGCUGGCUAAGGAAAACUAACACAUAUAUACUACUGUAGAUUUUAAACUUAUAUGUCUCCCCAUAGGCGAUGCAUAGGGAGGUACCAGGGGGAACAGGGGAGCACAUGCCCCCCCUGAGAUUGGCCCUCGCCAGCCAGGGAGUGGGGAGCACUGGCCGAUGACCCCCCUGACAAGUACUGGCGGCAUUUCCGGUUUUGCCACCGGCACUUCUGGGGUUUGUGAUCAGCUGCUACGGAAACCUCCCCCCCUGCCCCUGGUUGGCAAUUGGCCACUGGUGCCACCCCAGAGUCAGGAGGCACCAGUCGCCCAUGUGUCUGUCUUUUUAGUUUUAUACCAUUGCCCUCUCAAAUUUUGCCCUUGUGAGAUCAGAAAUUCACCUACAAAUUAUCUUGCUGCUUCUUUUUUGUUUGAAACUGUAUUCAGUUCUACUGAUCUCAGGAUCACCUCUGGGAUCAUUGUCAAAAUCUGUUUUCAAAGUUAUAAAAUAUUUCACAUCACAGCUUCUCUGCUCACCACUUUCCCCUAGAUUCUUCAUAUCAGAUUGCUCAAACUCAAAAGAAUAUGUAUUAAAGGCCCAGAUUUCUGUUCAACAGCUUGACUGAUCCCACUUUGAAAAUGUGUCAGAAAGAUGAUUUUCCCUUCCCUCAUUUUGCAGCAAUCUGCCCAAUUCUUACAGGCCAUUUAUGAUAUCCAGGAAAGAAAUUCCUGGAUUCAUACAUUUCAGAAUUUUGACAGAAGCUCAAAACCCAAAUCACCAUCCAAAUGAUAUAGUCAGAGCCAUUUUUGCUGACAACUGAACAAAGGCUAAUCCUACUGAUCAUUAGAAUACCUGCAGUAUCCACACCACAUGCACCAUCACUAUUUUUCUGUUUCUGUCCAACAAAGUGAAGAGAGAAAGCAUUUUCCUCUGAUCUUUGCUGUUUUUAAUUGAUGCUCAUAUAGUCCCCAUUGUUAUAGUCUCUGAGCCUUUUUAACCUGUUUGUAGAACUAGAUGGAGAAAUUAUGUUUGAAUUAAAUUCCACCAGAACCUGCAGGUCUAUUUAAUUCAAAAUAGUUUGUGAAACCAGGUAAAUUUUUCCAGAAUUUUGUUUGGAAGCAAAUUUCAUGAAAAAGUUUUGUCAGUGCCAAAAUAUCCUGUUAUAAGUAGGUCAAUAGCAGAACUCAAUAUGAAACCUAGAAUGAUUGUCUUCACAUAAUCACAGAAAAGUAGAGUUAGAAAGUUGUCUAAUUCAACCCCAUGCUCAGGGCAGGAUCAUCCCAGUUUAAACCAUUACAGUCAAGUGCUUGUCUAACAUGUUCUUAAAAACUGGCAAAGAAUUGAUUUUUAAUUUUUAAAUGAUAUUUUGUUGCAUUUGUUUUUAAAAACUGCAUUGUAUACUAUAUAAUAGAUGCUGGGCAUGUCUACAUGAGAUGCUAUGUUGCCAUAGCGAUGAGCUACAGUAAUGUAGCAUCAGCGGGCAUGAACCAUGAUGCCGCUGCUACUGCACAGUAGCAUUGAGCUACUGCACAACAGCAUAUUGCUACUGUGCAGUAGGGUCAGAAAUGAUCCAUGCAAUGCUGGGACUGCACAGUACCGGAAGUUACUGUGAAGUCAUUUAGUAUUUGCUUUAGCGAAGUAACAGCUGCACAGUCAGACACACAUGUAGAUGCACCUGCUAUGUACUAUAUUAUGUAUAUGAUUAUGUUAUAAUACAAAAUGAAAAAAGUUUAAAUAAAAAAUGAAGUCUUUUAAUGA